GCCGGGAUGGUCUAAUCAGUUAAGGCGUCGCCUCGGGCAGGCGAAGGUUGCGGGUUCAAUCCCCACUCCAGGCC
rnacentral:tRNA from 1 species